rnacentral:rRNA from 1 species
UACGGGAGGCAGCAGUGGGGAAUAUUGCACAAUGGGCGAAAGCCUGAUGCAGCUAUGCCGCGUGUAUGAAGAAGGCCUUAGGGUUGUAAAGUACUUUCAUCGGGGAGGAAAAAACAAAACUAAUAAUUUUAUUUCUUGACGUUACCCGAAAAAGAAGCACCGGCUAACUCCGUGCCAGCAGCCGCGGUAAUACGGAGGGUGCUAGCGUUAAUCAGAAUUACUGGGCGUAAAGAGCACGUAGGUGGUUUUUUUAAGUUCAGAUGUGAAAUCCCUGGGCUUAACCUAGGAACUGCAUUUUGAAACUGAAAUACUAGAGUAUCGUAGAGGGAGGUAGAAUUCUAGGUGUAGCGGUGAAAUGCGUAGAUAUCUGGAGGAAUACCUGUGGCGAAAGCGGCCUCCUAAACGAAUACUGACACUGAGGUGCGAAAGCGUGGGGAGCAAACAGGAUUAGAUACC